GCGGGCGUGGUGGAACUGGUAGACACGUCAGGUUUAGGUCCUGGUGAUGAAAAUCGUGGGGGUUCAAGUCCCUCUGCCCGCACCA
rnacentral:tRNA from 1 species